rnacentral:sRNA from 1 species
AUGGACUGCUGGAUUCAGUUUGCAAGUACUUUGUUGAGGAUUUUUGCAUAAAUGUUUGUCAAGGAUAUUGACCUAAAGUUUUGUUUUUGCCAGGUUUUGGUAUCAGGAUGAUGCUGGCCUCAUAGAAUGAGCUGGGGAGGGGUCUUUCCUCCUCAAUUUUUUGGAAUAGUUUCAGUAGGAAUGGCACCAGCUCUUCUUUGUUCAUCUGAUAGAAUUCAGCUGUGGAUCCUUCUUGUCCUGCGCUUUAUUUGGUUGAGAGUUGCCCAAGGAAGUCAACAGGAGAGCCAGGUCAGGGAACAGCAACCAGAGGGAGAUGAUCACCUGAACCACUGCUCCAAACCAUGGGCAGUAAAUGCUGUAAAGGUGGUCCAGAUGAAGAUGAUGUAGAAAGACAGAGGCGACGGAAGG